UACGGAGGGUGCAAGCGUUGCUCGGAAUCACUGGGCGUAAAGGGUGCGUAGGCGGGUUUUUAAGUCAGAGGUGAAAUCCUGGAGCUCAACUCCAGAACUGCCUUUGAUACUGGGAAUCUUGAGUAUGGAAGAGGUGAGUGGAACUGCGAGUGUAGAGGUGAAAUGCGUAGAUAUUCGCAAGAACACCAGUGGCGAAGGCGGCUCACUGGUCCAUAACUGACGCUGAGGCACGAAAGCGUGGGGAGCAAACAGG
rnacentral:rRNA from 1 species